rnacentral:rRNA from 1 species
AUUGAACGCUGGCGGCAGGCCUAACACAUGCAAGUCGAGCGGAUGAGUGGAGCUUGCUCCAUGAUUCAGCGGCGGACGGGUGAGUAAUGCCUAGGAAUCUGCCUGGUAGUGGGGGACAACGUUUCGAAAGGAACGCUAAUACCGCAUACGUCCUACGGGAGAAAGCAGGGGACCUUCGGGCCUUGCACUAUCAGAUGAGCCUAGGUCGGAUUAUCUAGUAGGUGAGGUAAAGGCUCACCUAGGCGACGAUCCGUAACUGGUCUGAGAGGAUGAUCAGUCACACUGGAACUGAGACACGGUCCAGACUCCUACGAGAGGCAGCAGUGGGGAAUAUUGGACAAUGGGCGAAAGCCUGAUCCAGCCAUGCCGCGUGUGUGAAGAAGGUCUUCGGAUUGUAAAGCACUUUAAGUUGGGAGGAAGGGCAGUAAGUUAAUACCUUGCUGUUUUGACGUUACCAACAGAAUAAGCACCGGCUAACUUCGUGCCAGCCGCCGCGGUAA